UGGUUCUUGUGGCUAAAUGUAUAGUUUCCAUUAAUUAUUGCCAAGCAUGUUGUUAUGAUGAUACAUCGCAUGCUUGAUCUAACGGAAUACCAUACCGAAUUAAUUAUAAUAUAAUUAAUAAUUAAUGUUAUAGCUCGUCUAAAUUUCGUUCCUAAUUUAAGUAAGAAGUAAAACCGGAUCAGAAUAAUUGAUAUAUAAAAUUCAAAACUUCAGCGGGAACACUGGAACAAAGAUGCCAAACAUCAUCCAAACCCCCGUGCAUCCCUCCAUGUCUGAUAGCUGCACUCAAUAGGCGAUCAUUUAUGAAUCCGAGGAGAUGGAAGGUGCGACAUACCGCCGCCGUCGAGGAUGAAACCUUCCAUCUUAUUACCCCUGACGACAUGAGCGCUGGGAUUGGAUUCCUUCCAACCCACUAGAACCUGCAAGUGUCGUGGGAAACUGACCACACCUUACAAAUUGCUUGGGGCGAAAGAGAACCGUGCAUGCGAACUAAAAGUUCUCGAAGGCAGCGAAAAGGAAAUGGUCAGACUUUAAGUACGUCGAGUAAUAAUAAAAACCAGCAAUUAACACGAAGUUUCGUUUAAAUUUAAUUUUAGAUUUAAGUGGUGUAGUAGCUGUUAAACUUUGCCACCACGAAUCCAGUAAAUUUAGGGUCUUGUGUAAUUUGAGCCAGUUGAAAGUGUGAUUUCAAAAUUGUUAAAAUAGAUGCAAUUAAAUUUUGUUUGGGACUCUA